AGCGAACGCUGGCGGCAGGCUUAACACAUGCAAGUCGAACGGUCCUUCGGGAUAGUGGCGGACGGGUGAGUAACACGUGGGAACGUACCCUUAGGUUCGGAACAACACAGGGAAACUUGUGCUAAUACCGGAUAAGCCCUUCGGGGGAAAGAUUUAUCGCCUUUGGAGCGGCCCGCGUCUGAUGAGCUUGUUGGUGGGGUAAUGGCUCACCAAGGCUACGAUCAGUAGCUGGUCUGAGAGGAUGGCCAGCCACACUGGGACUGAGACACGGCCCAGACUCCUACGGGAGGCAGCAGUGGGGAAUCUUGCGCAAUGGGCGAAAGCCUGACGCAGCCAUGCCGCGUGGAUGAUGAAGGUCUUAGGAUUGUAAAAUCCUUUCACCGGGGACGAUAAUGACGGUACCCGGAGAAGAAGCCCCGGCUAACUUCGUGCCAGCCGCCGCGGUAA
rnacentral:rRNA from 1 species